rnacentral:rRNA from 1 species
ACGCUGGCGGCGUGCUUAACACAUGCAAGUCGAACGAAGAGCGAUGGAAGCUUGCUUCUAUCAAUCUUAGUGGCGAACGGGUGAGUAACGCGUAAUCAACCUGCCCUUCAGAGGGGGACAACAGUUGGAAACGACUGCUAAUACCGCAUACGAUCCAAUCUCGGCAUCGAGGAUGGAUGAAAGGUAGCCUCUAUUUAUAAGCUAUCACUGAAGGAGGGGAUUGCGUCUGAUUAGCUAGUUGGAGGGGUAACGGCCCACCAAGGCGAUGAUCAGUAGCCGGUCUGAGAGGAUGAACGGCCACAUUGGGACUGAGACACGGCCCAGACUCCCACGGGAGGCAGCAGUGGGGAAUCUUCCGCAAUGGACGAAAGUCUGACGGAGCAACGCCGCGUGAGUGAUGACGGCCUUCGGGUUGUAAAGCUCUGUUAAUCGGGACGAAAGGCCUUCUUGCGAAUAGUUAGAAGGAUUGACGGUACCGGAAUAGAAAGCCACGGCUAACUACGUGCCAGCAGCCGCGGUAAUACGUAGGUGGCAAGCGUUGUCCGGAAUUAUUGGGCGUAAAGCGCGCGCAGGCGGAUUGGUCAGUCUGUCUUAAAAGUUCGGGGCUUAACCCCGUGAUGGGAUGGAAACUGCCAAUCUAGAGUAUCGGAGAGGAAAGUGGAAUUCCUAGUGUAGCGGUGAAAUGCGUAGAUAUUAGGAAGAACACCAGUGGCGAAGGCGACUUUCUGGACGAAAACUGACGCUGAGGCGCGAAAGCCAGGGGAGCGAACGGGAUUAGAUACCCCGGUAGUCCUGGCCGUAAACGAUGGGUACUAGGUGUAGGAGGUAUCGACCCCUUCUGUGCCGGAGUUAACGCAAUAAGUACCCCGCCUGGGGAGUACGACCGCAAGGUUGAAACUCAAAGGAAUUGACGGGGGCCC